CGUGCGUGCGUGUGUGCGUGUGUGCGUGUGUGUGUGUGUUGGAUUUCCGUGGUCUCCUCAACCAGGGCAACCACAGAGAGACCUCCUGGUGGCAAACACUCUUCCGUGUGUGUAGAAUACUUCUAGGUGUCUGUGAAAUGCAUGUGAUAUGGACUGUCAUUUAAUUCUGAUACAUCUCUGUGUAUUCCUUUAUCCAGGUGGACUAUGCAUGGAAAAUAACUGGAAUGUUGAAAUCACAGACUGCUAAUGGGUUAAUGUCAAUCUGUGCCUUUAAUUUCAAUGGUUAGCCAUGUAUGAGACACAGGAAUGAAGCCCUUUGGAUACUUCCUGCCUCCAACUGACUCACGGACCCACUCCAUAUGCAAAAUCAAGCCAGCCCACAGCUCGGGGCAGAACUACUGAGUUCAUGGCAGGCCAGCAUCCUGCUUUCCUAAGCAUCUGAAAUGAAGGCUCUUCGGGUCCAACACCUGAGUCCUUGAGCUGACAAGACAGAAUUUGAGCUUCCAUAUUCAUCUGCUAACUCCUUCCUCCGCUGAGAAGUCUGCUUUCGUGAGGUUGCAUGGCUGACAGUCAUUUGGCUUCUUGGGCUGAUCCACAAGACCAGUAGCAUUAUGGGAAGGAGCUGGGAAGGAGCUGGGAAGGCCAGGAAGAUGCUCCUGAGCACCAGUUUCAAUGAGCAGAGGAACAACGGGCUUUAUGGACCAUUUCAUUCUGGAGUGCCAAGUAAACUAAGGUCCUUGCAGGCAGAGACAUUAUCCAGAACGUUCGGAGCAGAGGCAGUAUAAUUCACCACAUGAAAGAAAACCUUCACUAAGUUAAAAUCUUUGCUGUGCUGGGGCAUUGAAAAUAUUUGGAAAAUAAUCUUCAUUCCACAGUUUAGUAACAUCAUUCUUUAAAACCACUAAGGCUGUGAACAUUUUUCCCUUAUCUAGACUCUCGUCCCCCACAUGAAGGCCCAUUUGCACGCUGUGAGGACAUCUGUCUUGUUUAUAAUCCUCUUUGUCUGUCUUUAUCAAAUCCUUCAGCUGCGUGGAUCACUGGCCAUUCCCAGACAUCCCAUUUAAUGAGUCUUCUCCAAAGGCUGCUCUAUGGAGAACCUAUGUGCCUGGAAGAGGUCGAUGGUCUCACUUCAGCAUGCUUUAAGAAUUAACCAGGAAUCACAUAAAACUGACUGUAUGCAGGCUCUGUCCCUAAAUGAUCUGGACUCGGGAACCUCAAGGGACUUGUAUUUUCCCUGGAAAAUACACGUCACUUACUGUGUCAGCCUGCAAUCUAAGUGUGGGAUCCGCUGCAACAAGACAAGACACUGACAAUUGUCCCUUAUCUGUGUGUCUUGUCUUUUGUAUUCCAACAAAUCUGUAUAUUUGGUUGCCAAGCUGUGUGGCAAAUACAUACCAGUAACCUACCAGUGACCCAGACAGUAUCCUCAGAAAAGAUGACUCCUGUUUCAGAGGGACAUGGCCACUCCAAGUUGUGGGUCACACUGGCAGAAUCAGCCCAGAGCUCAGUCCUCACCCUGCCGUUGGCCACCAAAUAUUUGAACACGUGUGCUGUCCUCACUGUAUUUAAUGUAUGGAGAGUAAACUUUCCACAUAUAUUUUAACUAAUGAAACUUGGAGUAUUUUGACAUCCUCAAAGCCUCAGUUUCUAAGACUUAGGCAAACUCUGGGGGAUUGUAGCAACACAAUUAUUCUCAUGGAACUAAUAUCCACCACUAAGUGCAGAAGUUGUGAAGAAAACAACAUGAGAGAGAUGGUUUUUAAGAGCACCAAAGAUGGAAAGGAAGAAAGAUCAGGAAAACAACACAAGAAAGCCCAAGGUUGAUUAUUUAAUUCAUAAGUUUUUUUGUGUUUUGUUUUGUUUUGUUUUGUUUUGAGUGCCUAAUGGAUGUAAAAUCCAGCUUGGGCUCUUGGAAGAGGAGAAGAAGCGAUGCUAUUGGCUGAUGGCAUGCCCUGAAUUUGAGAGCCAAGUUAACUAGGUGACCACAGCUCUCUCUGGGCUUCCAGAGCAGUGCACACAAGCUCCUGUUCAAGCCCUGAGUCCUCCACCAUGUCUUCCGUAUUCUCCUGCUCUGCUUCCUUCCUACUGUGUGAACAUCCACUUGAACUUCAUGACCUUGGAGCUCAAGGAGGUCACGAUCUGACUGCAGAUUCACCUAUCUCUUGUGUGUGACAUAGAGGUGUGCAUGUGUCCUGUGAGCUAAUGGAGGUACACGAGAGUAUGUGUGUGUGUGUUCGUGUGUAUGUGUAUGUGUGUAUGUGUGUGUGUGUGUGUGUGUGUGUGUGUGCGCGUGUGUGGGGUUUCUUGUGUGCUACAUGGAGGGGUAUGCAUGUAUUCUGUGUAUUACAAGGAUGUAUGCAUGUUUCUUGUGUGCUACAUGGUUGUAUGAAUGCCCCGUGUGCUACAAGGAGGUAUGUGUGUUCUCUUACCGUGGAAAAGCACCUACCUACCUAGACAAAAAUUAUUCCACAAAGGUAAAGCAAGAAGUCUCAGUUCA
rnacentral:lncRNA from 1 species